rnacentral:rRNA from 1 species
GUAGGGUCCAAGCGUUAAUCGGAAUUACUGGGCGUAAAGCGUGCGCAGGCGGUUGUGCAAGACCGAUGUGAAAUCCCCGGGCUUAACCUGGGAAUUGCAUUGGUGACUGCACGGCUAGAGUGUGUCAGAGGGGGGUAGAAUUCCACGUGUAGCAGUGAAAUGCGUAGAGAUGUGGAGGAAUACCGAUGGCGAAGGCAGCCCCCUGGGAUAACACUGACGCUCAUGCACGAAAGCGUGGGGGGGAGCAAACAGGAUUAGAUACCCUGGUAGUCCACGCCCUAAACGAUGUCAACUAGUUGUUGGGGAUUCAUUUCCUUAGUAACGUAGCUAACGCGUGAAGUUGACCGCCUGGGGAGUACGGUCGCAAGAUUA